rnacentral:pre_miRNA from 1 species
UAGAACUUAGCUAUUUGGAGAGCAGUGGCCUUCAAUGAAAUCCUGUUCACAGUGGCUAAGUUCAGU